rfam:Hanseniaspora valbyensis NRRL Y-1626 HANVAscaffold_161, whole genome shotgun sequence.
AGGAUUGAUGAUUUUCUUAUAUUCACACUGUAUAAGGUAUUUGGUUUAAUUACCGGUAUCAAUGAACACAUUUUACGAAAAAACUGAUUUAAUGACUCUGACC